CAUUAUGUGAGUGUACCCACGUUGGCAACAGGCUUGAAAAUCUGAAGAACGAGUCAGGAAAGCCAUGGAAUACAUUAUGGAAACUGACACUCAUGGAAAAAGAGUGCCCGGGAAAGUUAGGACACUGUCAAUUGCUGUACAAAUAUACCCAACUGCAAAACUCUAUUUUAAAGUAUUUAUCUGCUGAACAUUUUGAAGGCAUCAGAAAAGACUACAACCUUAAUGAUAUAAUAAUAUUGUCUGUGAAUAAAAUAAAUGUUUCUGAAGAAGUGGAAAUAGAAAUUCCUGUGCCAAUGUUUUCCUCUGAGAAGCAGAGGAACUUCACACCAAGAAUAAUCCUGCCGACCGAAGCAAUACUCAAGGGCCAGCAGAUGGAUGAUGGGUACAGGAGGGUCGCUGUCAUAGUUUACAAUUCAUCCGCCCAGUUCGAG